UUUAGAUUGUACCAACAGGCAAAGAAACACAGCAGUAAUUUCAGAAUAAUGGGAUGAUUGCAAACGCAGCUGCAGACACCCUUCUAUUAAAAGUGUGUUGCUCUGAGCAUAUUUCAGUCUCUUUGUUCAAGCCCUCCAAAAUCUCAAGAAUUGAUGAAGCAGAUUGUGAAAUUAAACCAUCCUGUCUGUCUUUAUUCCAGGCUGCAGUUGCAUGCAGAAACCACAGGCAUACAAGAUUAUAUCAACUGUAUGGGUGCAUUUCUGUUCGGCUACAGUCGGCAGUCUUGCUUUAAGACGUCUGAUGCGUCUUGCUCUCCCACUCGCGAAGCGGUAUUGUCAUACACACAAGCACGCCUGCACUCUCACACAUGCGUGUGCACACCAAUCAGUACACUGGGAAGAGGAGAGACUUGUACUGAGUGGCUUCUCAAUGGGAGAGAAGAGCUGAGAGGAGAGAGGGACGGAGAGAGUGAGCACAUGAGAGAGAGAGGGAGGGAGAGAAGUGCCGUCGCAUGUGCAAGACCAAAAAGUGAAGAGGCAAAUUAGCUUCUUAUCCUUCAAAGAAGCUUCACCUUCAGAGAGAAGCGUGAGGAGGCUGAGAAACAGGAGGAAGACGUUGCUUCUCUGGUGAUUUAAAGGUGACAUGACAAGCCUCUCGUCCCUCAAAUCCCAGCUAGUUUCUGACAGCGUUUCACAGCUGUGACGGGAGUUUCUGUUGUCGGGUGCCUGACUGUGUUCGGUGGAUUGCAUCCAGAAGGACUUACAACAAAAGAAGGGGACCAAGGGCAGGAGUGGGAACAAAAGUCUCCUCAUCCCCCCUCUGACCCGCAGAUCCAAACAGGAACUUUUGCUGGGAAGCUCUUUCCCGAGAGCAUGGAUGGAUUUAUGACUAUGUGCUAAGGAUAUUGGAUGCACAGCUGACGGCACGUUUCUUUAACGUUCUCCUCACAGUAUCUCACAGCCGGUGCUCCUGCCAUGUCCUGGAUCCUGUGUCUGUGGAUAAGUGUUAGCUGCUUACUGCUGUGCCAUGCCACUUUAUAUGAGACCAUCCAACAGCAUCAUGUGACCCGCCCGGGCCGCAACGCCAUACAGAUUCUGGAGGGAGGGACAUGUGAGGUCAUUGCAGCACACCGAUGUUGCAACAAGAACCGCAUUGAGGAGCGUUCCCAGACUGUCAAGUGCUCUUGUUUACCGGGAAAAGUGGCCGGAACAACACGGAACAAACCCUCUUGUGUAGACGCCUCCAUCGUGAUUGGGAAGUGGUGGUGUGAGAUGGAGCCGUGUCUGGAGGGAGAGGAGUGUAAGACACUACCAGACAACUCCGGCUGGAUGUGUUCCUCUGGGAACAAGAUCAAGACCACAAGGAACACCCAGCCAUAUUCAACUUUUUAGUUCUGAGGGCCACCGAAGCUGGCUCGCCAGAAGCUCAGUGGCGUCCUUCUCCUCAUCAAGAUUCAUCCCCGGACCUAACAAAGAGCUCCUUCACAGGCAGUGAAUGUGGAUUCUUACUGUCAGAACGGACGAAACCAUUCAUUCCUAGAGGUGUUUGACUGGAUUACCUGUGAAUGGACAAUAAAGAAGGACAUUCUUGGGGAUAAAGACCAGAUUUGCUCAUUCGGUGCCAAGGAAUAUGACAAAUAGAAAUGAAGCAGGCUAAUCAUGUUUUUGAUCAAUAAGCCCAACACUGCAGACUCAACCUUGUCCAAUUCUCUCGAUUUUCUGCGUUUCUCCUCAACACCUUCCUCUGCUUCUAAACUCGUUCAGCUUAGGGGAGCCGUUUACUGGAUUUCAAAUUAUAUUUGAUAUAUUUGAAAACUUUAUGUCCCUAGGUAAACUGGACAAUCCUGAUAUAAGCUGUGAAUGGCUGUAUGAAGGAUCAUGACGGAUAAGCACUGGUCUGUGAAAAUGAGGUGGAAAUCAAUAGGAGAUUUUUUUUUUUUCAUCCUGCUACCAGUUUGUUGUUCUGUGUCCACUCUGGGUUUGGUAAAAGACUAGGAGCUCAUGAGGCCCUGCUAUUUCCCUCCACUUCUGAGUUUACCGCUCACCGCUAGUGUCCACGUGCUGUCCAAUUGGGGGUCCCCCAAGUCAAAGGUCACCUCACCUUCUACACCUACUUGGACCAGAUAUCUUUUUAUUUGUCGGCAUGCUCAGUGUAUUUUGUGGGAGCUUUGUAUUGAAAGUAACUGUAUAUAUUUCUGUAUAUAUACAUAUAGAUACAUAUUAAAAUACAUCAUAUGGCGAUCUAUCAUGCCCUAAAACUGUUCAGUGGUUUUGAAUUAAGACUGUAUUCAUGAUUUUGUUUCCUUGAACUACUGGAUUAAUCCCUAAUUUAAGGCUCUGUGAAAAUACAUAUUCUCUUGAUGUAACGGAAAUCUAGCAUUUUUUGAGAAUCUGUGAAAAAACAAAAAAACAACACUGAGGAAAAUUCACUAAACAGUUGCAACACAAUAUUUCAACGCAAACAUCUUUAGCACUAAAAUAGCCCUGAGCUGUAAGUCAUUCAUUUUCAGCCCAAACAAACAAGUUUCCAGACAAAUUAGACUUAUAAUAAAUUGAGGCUUAUUCACAAAACUGCUACUACCGCUGGCGGAAAUCAGAUGGAAAAUUACUUUAUGUACAUUUUCUACAGAUCAUAACAACAGUUAUUCAACAAGUAAUGAGCAAAUAAUGGAGAAGAGCAUGUGUGGAGUGGUCGACCACACUUGGUGCUUUACGGUCCCAUUAAAAUAGUGUAUAAACUGUGUCCUCCACAACCAUAAUGCACAGAAGCAACCAGCUAAUUUGGGAAUUGUGACAUGCAGAUUUUCAGGUGCUUUUGUUCUAUUAUCUAUUGUUGCAUAAUUCUGAAUCUGGCAGUUUAACACAACAUACAAUGGAAUGAAUUGCCUCUGUCGGCAGGCGCAACUUAUUCUUAGUGAAUUUCCCAAAGAUAUCUGUAUAUUGGCCCAAUAAAAGAGGCCUCAGUCACCUACUGGAACUCAUUUUAACAUUCAUAUAUGCAGGUCUAACUCCAGUUCAAUCCAUGAUCCAGUUUGUUCUAUGCUGUUCUGAGAAUAGAGGCUUCAUUGUGCUUGUGUAGGCUUCAUAAGUACAAGACAUUGGAAAACAUUCAUUUUGUUAAAGGUGAUAACCAUGAUAACCAAACACUGAAUCUGUGUCACUGGACAGAAACCUGAAUCAGUUUGGAAAAAUGAAGCCCUAAUUUGGCAGAGUCCGUGCAGUAGGAAAGCAUUUGUUGUUUUUUUACCAUCUGAACAAUGACCAUACCGUCACAUGAAUCGUGCAGGAGAUGGCCAUUCAGAAUGCUUUUAGUUUUCUGUGUAAUCCAGUUUCUUUGGUUGGCAAAAAAGUGGGCUUCAUUUCUCUUUACUGAAAUUAGUAGACAUGCAACUACAGUAGCUUUGGUAGAUAAACAUUCAGCCUUAUCAGAAGCAAAUCAAUA